rnacentral:rRNA from 1 species
UACGGAAGGUGCGAGCGUUGUUCGGAAUCACUGGGCGUAAAGCGCGUGUAGGCGGCCCAUUAAGUCUGAUGUGAAAGCCCGGGGCUCACCCCCGGAAGUGCAUUGGAAACUGAUGGGCUGGAGUCCCGGAGAGGAGGGUGGAAUUCCUGGUGUAGCGGUGAAAUGCGUAGAUAUCAGGAGGAACACCGGUGGCGAAGGCGGCCCUCUGGACGGUGACUGACGCUGAGACGCGAAAGCGUGGGGAGCAAACAGG